GAGUGAUCAGCCAUUUGUUUAACUUCUCCUGGCUUCUCCAAAGCUUAUCUGUGCUCACAAGGACCUUUUUUGUCCCCUACAAAAAAAAAAAAAAAAAAAGAAAUGUCUGUAAGUUACGAACUAAGGCAAAAUGUCAGACAGAGAAAGAGAGAUAUACACAAUAGUACUGCCGAGUGUAGAUGUCCUGAUUGCAAACCACCACAAGAUGACAGAUGGACUGGGGACAUGGCUCAGCGCGGGAAGUCAUUUGCAGACCUGCCUGAAGAACUGACAUGGAUCCCAACAACUCACUUGGUAGACGAAGAGAACUCGUUCCAGCAAGCUGUGUGCCCAUGACAAAAUAAUUCAAGACCUGAGCUCUCAGUUUGUUGCUCCAGUGCCAUGCCUGUCUGCUUGCCACAUCUCCUCGUCAUAAAGGUGAUGGAUUCUUAUCCCUCUGGAACUAAAUCAAAUCCCUGCCAAUCCAAAGGGAGCAGCAACGUGGGCCCUAAAUCUUCAGACCAACGCUUGGGAAUUUUGCUCGUCCAAGCUUUCGUAAAAAGCAAUGGAAAGAGACCCUGUCAUCACAGGCCAGGCCUUUAGUGGUCCCACCUCUGUCUUUAAAUCAGUCAUAACUAGUGCUUCGGCAACCUGGGACUACUACAGAUAUGUCUCUGGGGCCACAGCAGAGAGAGAAGAUGAAUAUUUCAAGACCAUUGUUCUCUGUGAUUGCAUUGGACAAUACACCUUUUGACCACUCAAUAGAUCAUGCCCCCCCCCACAUUCAAGGCAUUGAUACUCUCACGUUUAUUAGCUUAAUAGAGUAGCAAAAUAUCACUUGAAAAGGCAUUCUACAAUUUUGAAAAUGAUCAAAAAGAUGACUUAGCCACAGAGCCCCUCCAGGGCCUUGUCUUAUUCUACCUGAUUGAGUUUAAUCGCUUGGUUUCAAUCUAAUGCCGUCUCUUCACAGCAUAGUAAACUUUGCUUAUGCUGAUGCUAUCUCACAACCUCUAACAAAUUCAUACAAAACAGGUAAGAUGAUAACGUGAGGGGUGACUCAUCCCUAACAGGCUUGAGGGCCAGCCAGCCCAAACCAGUAAAAAGAUACUUUCUGAAAGCCAACCUGGGUCUGCCUAAGGGCCUUAGCAACAGCAGCUGGAACAUGAUCUGAAGAUGAACUAGACCAAUGAGAGGCAACCAUGUCAUAUCAGCAGAUGCAUAUUCAUCAGACCUCCACCCGGGGUGGGGUGGAGGGUACAUAAGGCUUGCCUCUUCCUGAAUAAACUGAGCUUGUUGUUUCAACAUUCUCCCAGAGUCUGUGUUAUUGACUCUGCGCCUACUUGCCGCACCCCCCCAAAGGGAA